rnacentral:rRNA from 1 species
UACAGAGGUGGCAAGCGUUGUUCGGAAUUACUGGGCGUAAAGGGCGCGUAGGCGGUCUUUUAAGUCUUGUGUGAAAUCCCUCGGCUCAACUGAGGAACUGCACGGGAUACUGGAAGACUUGAGUUCGGGAGAGGGAAGCGGAAUUCCGGGUGUAGCGGUGAAAUGCGUAGAUAUCCGGAGGAACACCGGUGGCGAAGGCGGCUUCCUGGACCGAUUACUGACGCUGAGGCGCGAAAGCGUGGGGAGCGAACAGG